ACUCUCUUAGUAUUAUUAGUACAAUUGACUUCCAAUCAAUUAGACUCGGUAUUAACCCGAGAGGGAGUA
rnacentral:tRNA from 2 species